rnacentral:rRNA from 1 species
GACGAACGCUGGCGGCGUGCUUAACACAUGCAAGUCGAACGGAAAGGCCCUGCUUUUGUGGGGUGCUCGAGUGGCGAACGGGUGAGUAACACGUGAGUAACCUGCCCUUGACUUUGGGAUAACUUCAGGAAACUGGGGCUAAUACCGGAUAGGAGCUCCUGCUGCAUGGUGGGGGUUGGAAAGUUUCGGCGGUUGGGGAUGGACUCGCGGCUUAUCAGCUUGUUGGUGGGGUAGUGGCUUACCAAGGCUUUGACGGGUAGCCGGCCGGGGAGGGUGACCGGCCACUUGGGGACUGAGAUCCGCCCCAGCCGCCUACGGGAGGCGGCAGGGGGAAAUAUUGCACAAUGGCGGAAGCCUGAUGCAGCAACGCCGCGUGCGGGAUGACGGCCUUCGGGUUGUAAACCGCUUUCGCCUGUGACGAAGCGUGAGUGACGGUAAUGGGGAAAGAAGCACCGGCGAACUACGG